UCUCCGUAGGUGAACCUGCGGAGGGAUCAUUACCGAGCUCAUGCCCUUACGGGUAGAUCUCCCACCCUGUGUUAUUAUUACCUUUGUUGCUUUGGCGGGCCGCCAGGCUCCGGUCAGGCUAUCGGCUUCGGCUGGUAAGCGCCCGCCAGAGGACCCUAUAUCCUGAUUAUUAGUGUCGUCUGAGUACUAUAUAAUAGUUAAAACUUUCAGCAACGGAUCUCUUGGUUCUG
rnacentral:misc_RNA from 1 species